GGGUCGGUAGUGAAGUGGUUUAACACGUCGCCCUGUCACGGCGAAGAUCGCGGGUUCGAAUCCCGUCCGACCCGCCA
rnacentral:tRNA from 1 species